AGAUAUUUGCGUUAUAUAAGAAAUAAUAAAAUAUAGAAUAUAGUGAGUGAAAUUUCUUAUUUAAAUUUACUCAUACUGCCUUUUUUUUUGACAGGUUUCUCUCUGUUGCUCAGGCUGGAGUGCAGUUCUACAAUCAGGGCUCACUGCAGCCUCUGCCUCCUGGGCUCAAGUGAUCUCCCACCUCAGCCUCCAGAGUAGCUGCUACAGGCAUGUGCCACCCCACAGCAGGCUAAUUAAAAAAAAAAUGUAGAGAUGGUGUCUCCCUGUGUUGCCCAGGCUGAUCUCCAACUCCUGUUCUCAAGCAGUACCUCCCUCUUGGCCUCCAAAGUGCUUGGAUUACAAACGCGAGCCACCACAUUGGACUUCAACAUUGCCUUGUGCAAACAUUUUACUAUCAAAGAUGUGCUUAAAAUAAAGAUCUUCAAAUAGGGAGAGUGACUUUGAUCAUCUUGGUAGUCCCUACAUCCAAUCACAUGUACCUUUAAAAGACAGAGGCAUAGAAAGACUUGACACAUAUAAAAGGAGAGGAUUUGUUUAUUAUCUUCAGGAAAUCAGAUUUCUCCCCCUCUGGCAAAAGAAAAGGCAAGCCCUCUAGCUGGCUCAAUAAACCUCAAUUGAUUGGGACAACUGCCUCGGUCACUCAAUUUGGUUGUCGAAUUGAUACCACUACACCCUUACCAGCCAUCCUACAACCAAGACAUUAUAGAACCUACAGAACUGAUACAACAUUGUGGAUUGCACAUUGAGACCCAGAAACACCUGUGUGCUUUGAUGACAUAAUUAAACUGUUGGAUCAACCUGAAUACUCUUCCUAUUCUGGACUUUAUGUAAAGUUGAAACUCUUUAAAAGCCUUGGAUUUAAAAAGCAUCCCAGGUUGCACUUUCCAGACAAACGGAGGCAUUCUUGUUAUUGGUAUGAUUGAGAGACCUGAACUUCAGAAACGAAGAUCAAAUCCUCAGAGAUUCUUACUUCUGUAAGCACAAUAAGGGAAGAGAUUUUGGGGUCUCUGUUUGCUGCAUAUUACAAAACAGCAAAUUAUUCAAGUCUACUGUGUUUUAGGCACAUUCUGCAGGGGUCUGAUAAGGAGAUCUCAAUAGAGUGAUUCUAAGAAGCAGAAUGCAUAUUCUUUUAGCAUAACUGGGCAAGUAAUCAAUAAAGUAAAUGUACUAUUAUACAAUCAAUUUGAAUUUAGUAAGCAAAUUCAGGAUGAGAAAUCAUGUUGAAAGCUGUAAUACUUUCUGUAUGAUCAGAGUUAAAUGUACCAACUAGCAAAACUGAAUUUUUAAAAUACUUUUGCUUUUACUAUGCAUUUGAAUAAACACUUUCCGCUGAAAGUAUCAAUGUGGCUAUUUUAUAUAUAAAGAGUAACACUAUCAUUUUUAAAAAAACUUUCCUCCAUUCUUGAUUUCUUGUCAUUUUUUAACUUUUAAAAAAUCAAACCACAUGGCAACAGCAACUAAAAGGACUAAAAAUGAAAUAUAGUAACACGCUAAUGGCAGUAUCAAAUUUUGUGAAAAAUUUCAGAUACUUGGG
rnacentral:lncRNA from 10 species